GAUGAAGAACGCAGCGAAAUGCGAUAAGUAAUGUGAAUUGCAGAAUUCAGUGAAUCAUCGAAUCUUUGAACGCACAUUGCGCCCGCUAGUAUUCUGGCGGGCAUGCCUGUCCGAGCGUCAUUUCAACCCUCAAGCCCCCGGGCUUGGUGUUGGGGAUCGGCGAGCCUCUGCGCCCGCCGUCCCCUAAAUCUAGUGGCGGUCUCGCUGUAGCUUCCUCUGCGUAGUAGCACACCUCGCACUGGGAAACAGCGCGGCCACGCCGUUAAACCCCCAACUUCUGAACGUUUGACCUCGGAUCAGGUAGGAAUACCCGCUGAACUUAAGCAUAUCAAUAAGCGGAGGA
rnacentral:misc_RNA from 1 species